rnacentral:tRNA from 1 species
UGGGGUAUCGUCAAGUGGUAAGACACAGGAUUUUGAUUCCUGCAUUCCUAGGUUCGAAUCCUAGUACCCCAACCA